CCAUUUAAAUAUACACCGUAACUUCAUAGUUUUAGAAGUCCGGUACCUUACAUCCUCCCCUCCUUAAUAAGAGUUUCGUCCCCGAAACUCACUCACUUCAACCCAAUUCACACUCUAAUUCUCUUUAUUGGGUGACAAGGGUGUACAAUGCACUUUUGCAUCUCGGAGUGGCCUUUCGCUCAUUGGAACUAUCCAAAGGUCCACUACGGAGGACGUGAGACUAGAUUCACUCACAUUUGCUGUGUGUAAGUCCAAAAGUGCAUUACGGGUCUCCGUCAUUCUUGGUGGUAGCGCAAGUUGAAACUCAACGACACCACGCGCUUGAACACCAUUCACCACUUGACAUGCAAGAACUUUUCUUUGCAUUUACCUUCCCCUCAGGGUAUUACAAUUCGAUUACCAGCCUUGCUUGAAGGCAAUAUCAUUGUGCAUCGCUUCAUCGUGAGUGUUCAAAUCAUAUUUGAAUCUUUGCUCUAUCAAGAGAUGGCCCACUCCGGUGCAUCUCGAUUUUGAAUCCAUAAUAAAGCAUUAUCCUCAAGUUCCUCAAUUCCUCCAACAUAACCCAGCCUACCUGGGCAAAUGCCGCACUCGGGGACCGGUCUCUCCCUUACCUGGGACCGGUUGCCCCGCGCUGCGCGACCCUCAGCCUCGGGGCAACCGGUCCUUCCCUGUCUGGGACCGGUCCCCGAGAGCAAGCUCACGCAGACCACGUUCGGGAACCGGUCCCUCCCGCCAGGGACCGGUCCCCGAGAGCAAAUCUGCCAAGUGUAGAUUCUUGCACCAUUUGCUCUCGCGGACUCCAUUGCAAUGCACUUUUAGUGCAUUUGACUUCUUCGGCUUUCAUGAAGCACUCCCACUCGACAAUUAGUCGAUCCUGAGCGAAGUCCAACUCUCGUAAUUUCCUUACUCUAACUCCUCCAUAGAGUUAUUGGCUAAACCGAUUACGUCGGCUUUCACAGGUGGACCAACGGUCGCAAACACUACGUAGGUCUAUCGCCUAACGUGUCUCAACUACGCGUAGCAUUUCCCGCUCGCAAGUAGACCCAAUCCUCAAUUUUCGAGCGAAAUUCUCACCUGGGAAUUCGCACCCACUCCAAGCAGGAGCAACCAAGACCCCAAACCACGUCAAGUCCUCGGGUUGGGUCACAACACACUAGGUGUAUCCUCGAUCUCACGAUCCAACACGUGGCAUUCCACGCACCCGGGUCUAAGCUCGGACUACCGUCCUGACCAACUCUCUGCCCUACCUAUAGGUACCGGACCGCUGUCUCUCACAGCUGACUGCACCUGCCCAAUGGGCCCAGACUCCACAGUCCACAAAUGGUCCAGGCACAGGUCGUCCCCAAGCAAUACCCGCCAACGUCGUCCUACACGACAUGCUCUACGAGUACCUAUACUCGAGCGCUCUACGCCUCUAUAGCGUUUCAACUAAGCCAAGCAGUAGGCCACCCGCCUAUGCACACCGACUACACGAGCACUACUCGCCCACCUCAACUCAGGGUGUUAUUAGGCCCAUAUGCUCGUGCUCGAUAACUAUCCGACUUUUUUCUCAAUAGUGAUCCUACUCUCACUGUUCAAUCUACCGAACCAUAUUCGAAAUGCUUUAACUACAAGGGUAUCCUCAAUGUCACGGCGCAACUCUCGCAAUCUGGUUCUCAUUGCCUUGAGAGCCGCUUCACCGUUUCACGUUCACCGCGAGUCUCAUUUCUUGUCCAGGAACCAUCACUAACAGUUUGUUAGUGCUGCAUGGCUCUCUACCUGCUCCAGCAGGCGCUACACUCUCACGAUGCAAGCAUGCUCGGGUGUCUACCUACCCGACCACUCGGUCCCUACUAUGCAAUAUGUAAAUAGUAGCUGCUGACCAUAUGAUAAAUGCAUGCUAUGCAACAGUCCAAUAUUAGGUAGAAGCAUAUACUUGCUUAAUUAACUCGUACCUGCCAUGACAGUGUCAGCAGUAGUAGGUUCCUCCACCUGGGUCGCGUAUCCACGGUCACCCGCUGCCCGCCGCGAGCCCCUCGGUGGCAUCAUCCUCAACGGUCGCGCUUCCGGCCAUGCCGCAGGUAGCACACCUGUAGGCUGUCCUGGGGAGGAAAAGGCCGUCGCCCGUGUCAGGGUCUGAUUAUACCCUUGCGGACACUCGUCCCGUACAUGGCCCGGCUGCCCGCAACGAAGGCAUCUACCAUCGCGCAGCACACACCGCCGAGCCUAGUAGGAACCACCACAAAUCACGCAUCCUGGGGAGGAUCGGCUAGAGAACGACUUCGAGUGGCGCUUGGAACUUGAUUGUCCACCCGAAUCUCUCGAUAGUGGCUUCACCCCUCCCCGCUGACGCUCAGAAGACUCGUGCUUCUCGCGCACGAAAGCAUCACCGUGCUCUGCCAACAACGCUCGAUCCAACACCUCCGUGAAGGUCGUGAGCCUAAGGAUUUGCACCCUCUCGUAAAUCUCCGGUCGAAGUCCAUGUAGGAACCAAUCGGCCAUAUCCUUGUCAUCCCGUACCACAUCCGGGACACAAUUCACGAUACGAGAGAAUUCCCGUUCAUACUCUCCCACUGAGCGGCCUCCUUGCCGCAGCUUCCUGAACCUGUCCUGAAGCUUUCUCUUUUCAGUGUCGGGAAAGUAAGUCGAAAACACCAAUCCCCGAAACUCAUCCCAUGCCAUAGGAGGGAGACUAGGCGAUCGAUUCCGUCGAAUGCUUUUCCACCACACUUUUGCCGACAACUUCAAACAGUGCACGGCUAGGGGCACCUUGUCCCGCUCCAAGGCGUACAGCUCCUCAAAGAGCGUUUCCAUAGAGUCAAUCCACAUCUCCACGAUCCAUGGAUCAACAUUCUCUCCAUCGAAGACAGGCGGAUCAAACUUCUUGAAGGUCAUAAGGGCCGCCAAAGCCCGCUCUUUCUCCGCCUCCACUUCCACAGAAUCAGAGGCCACUACCCCUGAAUCCAUCGCCACUCCCGUCGAUACACGGCACGCUGCUACCGGCGCAGCCGCCGCAAUCUGUCGUGCUAACAACUCAUGGAGCUCCUUGAUCUGCUCCUCCUGUCGCAGCACUACGCCCAUGAGCGUACUCAUCUGCUCGCGAAGCACCGGAUCUCCGCUCGCCUCGGGUUGCUCAGGGAAAACACCUGUCCCAUCCCGAGUUGAUCUAGACGAAGGUCGCCUACGCGGUGCCAUCGUUCCUUGAAAUACGACAACUCAAUUAAUUCUCAACCCUCUGGGUCAAGCACGAGACAAUUUAACAUUAACUCAAAUCGGGCGAAAGUCACGCAAGGGCGUCUAUUCUCAUCACUCAGUUUCAUGUUGUGUGCACCCAACAUGAACACCCUCGGUUGAGAAUAAACCACACCUCGAGUCUACCUCUAAUAUCCGUCAUAGAGGUUUCAACAAAACCCAAUCAAUGAACCUUUCGCCAUAAGUCACAAGUCCUCGUCUCUCACGAGCCUUAUUCUCCUAUGGUUUACGAUCCUAGGUUCUCCUAGGUCCAUCUAAACCAUUGCCCAUUCUCUACUUUAUGCUCUGAUACCACUUUACCUGUCACGCCCCGAGCCCCGCCUAUUUGGCCGAGUUCGGGCACGUCGACAGACCGCCGAACGGACAGAGUUUCCCCUGUACGUCCUAGGCGUCGCAAUCAAUACAAUGAACAUUACAAGGGUUCCAACCAGGAACAGAUAUCAAACAUGAUUGCAUAAGGAAAGUAUCACAACAUAACACAUCCUAUGUUAUUACAUGCAUUCACAAUAAUACAUUUACUUUACAUUCAACUCCCAAAUGCAAUUAAGUUAUUACAUCAUUUGCUUACUACAAAUUGAUACAUUAUUUUCUUUUCAUUACCCAAACCCCUAGGCUAUGCCGACUCGGGGUACCGCUAUCUCUGGUCUCUGGGGUAGGGCGCUAUCUAUGGAGCUACGCCCUUGCAUCGCGCCGCCGCGCCGCUCACGUGCGAACCUGUAACACCCCAAAACAACGUGGGGUGAGAACCAACUCCAUGGUUCCCAGUGGGUACGGCCACCCAAGGGAGGAGCUCGACCAAUAGGUCCAAAGAGGCAGCUGCAGGUUAGUUUAAUAAACAGAUAGAUAGAUAUUUUACUAUGCAAUUAAUAAAACCAUACCUUGCCUCGCAAAUGCAAUAUGAACAUUAUGCAACUAUGCAACUGCAUAAACAACUAGUAGAUAUGUUAAUUCUACUUUUACUUUGCUACUUUAGGUCAUUUCAUUCAAUUGUAAGGUUUCCAUUACCUUAUGUUCUCAACUCAAGUUCAACUUGCUUCUAAGGUCUCUAUUACCUCAGGUUCUUGCCUCGAUCACUAGCUUAUAAGGUUCCCAUUAACCUAAUCAAGCUAACCACCCAACUCGGCCUCAAGUCAAUUAUCCGCGGAUAGUCCGCGCACUGGCUGCACCUCAGCCUGGCUGCCGUCGCAGCCUACCGCAGAUCUGACUUAACCAUCUGACGGCGAACUCAUCGCUCUCACCCAACAACAACUCAAGUCAUGACUUAGCCAUCUGGCGGCGAACUCAUCGCACCUCACCUAACAAUGGUUCAAGUCAUAACUUAGUCAUCUGGCAGCGACCACAUCGCUCUCACCCAACAAUGGUUCAAGUCAACCUAGGCGGCAUCAUCCGAUAAGCUAAUGGGCGAGGAGAACCACACAUACCCAAUUCCAGCUUAUUCUCAUGGCAUCCCGGGCGAGGAGAACCAUACAUACCCGUUGAAUCACUGCCAGGCGAGGAGAACCACACAUACCUGCAGUUAUGAUUCGCUUGCCAUCUCUUUUACCACAAUUUCCACCGCUCCAUGUGCGGCCACAUCACUAGGGAUUCCGGAAUCCAUUUCAUAUAGCUCAAGGGUUGGUUUCAAACCCUAUAGCAUUGACCUAUCUAGGUUCAACGUCCUUUUCACCCUAGGUCCAACUGACUCUAGGUUCAACGUCUCUAUCACAUAACCUAGAUUUACUUAACUCUAGUUUCAAUCCAUAACCUAUGUUCUUUAACACUAGGUUAGAUACCACUCGACCUAUGUUCAAUAACACUAGGUUCAUUGUCAUUCAUGUCCAACCUAUGUUUUAUACACUAGGUUCAUUGUCAUUCAUGUUCAACCUAUGUUUUAUACACUAGGUUGAUUGUCAUUCAUGUCCAACCUAUGUUUUAUACACUAGGUUAAGUGCCACUCGAUCUAUUUGACAUCCUAAUUGUCCAUGUCGAGUCCCAUAACUAUCAACAUUUUAUCUAGCAUGCAUUCUUUGAUGCCAACAUGCAUAAUCUUUCUCACAUGAUCUACAACAUGUUAAUAUGCAAGUAAUCUAGCAUAUUCUCAUCAUGUCAUCAUACAUGUAUUAACAAGCAUAUUUACAUUAUGUCAUUAACAUGCAUUCUUUACCAUAUGCUCGCAUGCAUUAUUUAGCAUUUCUAUAAUAUGUUCAUCAUGCAUUCUAUGGUAAUCGUAGCAUAGCAAUUAACAUGCAUUCGCCUAGCAUUUAACUCUUGCAUUCAUCUACCAUUUAUAUGCAUCAAUAUGAAUUUACAUUUCUCUUAGACAUAAAGGGCGACCUAGUCGCUUCGGUAGGCACAACCCACCUUAACACGCGUUCCGAUUGCUUGUCGACACUUGCAAUCGGCCUCCCGCGGCACCCGUAUCCGGCACGGCCCGAUAUCGCAACUGCGCCUCAACCGUGCUCCGCUUCGCAGCCCCGAAAAUUAUAGGUCCUCGGUUACGUGCCACGGUGCUUCAAAUCCAUUUCCAUGAUUUUACGACGUCGCCUCGGCCCUCCCGGCGGACCCGAAGCCUAAACGUCCGUUUCUUUAAUAACUUUGUAACGGCUCGUCGGAUUGCCGAUCCGUCUUCGCCAACGCGUUUCGUUACCUAGCAAUUAGGUUUAUGAAGGGUCAAAUUAGAUCAAACCCUCAUAUUUUGAAAGUUUGCAUUUUUGAGCCCUAAUAUGAAUUAACCUCUAAAUAAUCCAAAUCAAAUGGAGCAAACAUGUUUAGAAUGCUCAUUAGAGACUAUUAGAACACUUAAAACUAAGGAUUAAGCCAAAUCCUAAAAGCUUACCUCAAUGUGAACGCCGCGACGACAACACACCGCUCCAACGGCCGCACGAAAGCCCGAUCCGUCGCCUCCAACGCGUUCGCAAGCAUCUUCUCCACCAACCCUCCAAUUUUUAGAGAGAGAUUUAGAGAGAUGAGAGAGAUAUCUAGAGAGAGGUAGAGGUGUUUCUCUCUCUACUCCAUGCGUGCGUGGGUGUGUGCUCGGGCUGAAGGAGAAAGAAGAAGAAGCAUCAGCUUCUUUAUAAUGCACCCCAAGGCACUAUUCACUCCAGGCAGCUUGAAAUCUGAUAAAUUUCGUUGGAGCCCUUCCGGAUGUCCGUUUGAGCUCAAAUUUGACAGGCAUGUUCGGUUUCACUUAAUAAGUCCAAAGAAAUUUUAAUAUUUCAGUUUCGACCCCGUUUGGUCACUGAAAACUGUACCGAACUGCAAUCUUUAUCAGAUAGCUUUCGGAUUCGAUUUCUCUCUCUACGGGUGUCAGAAAAAUAUGAAACUUUAAAUCUAGUCUCAUAAAAAUAUUUCUGACAUCUCCAUCAAUUUUCAUAAUUUUCUGACACUGUGCAUUUUCUGCUAAUUUAUCUGUCCCGUUUCUUACAGAAAAUUCUAAAUCAUCUGUUUUCGCUCUGAUUUCAGCACAGGUCAUUCCCAACUUAUAUUUCACUUCUCUAAAUCCAAUAAAAGUAGUAUCUCAUACUAUUUUUAUUUAUUUUCACUUUUAUAUUUAAAAUCCGGUAUGUUACGUUCUACCGCAACCUCACCGGAACCAUUUAAAUAUACACCGUAACUUCAUAGUUUUAGAAGUCCGGUACCUUACAUCCUCCCCUCCUUAAUAAGAGUUUCGUCCCCGAAACUCACUCACUUCAACCCAAUUCACACUCUAAUUCUCUUUAUUGGGUGACAAGGGUGUACAAUGCACUUUUGCAUCUCGGAGUGGCCUUUCGCUCAUUGGAACUAUCCAAAGGUCCACUACGGAGGACGUGAGACUAGAUUCACUCACAUUUGCUGUGUGUAAGUCCAAAAGUGCAUUACGGGUCUCCGUCAUUCUUGGUGGUAGCGCAAGUUGAAACUCAACGACACCACGCGCUUGAACACCAUUCACCACUUGACAUGCAAGAACUUUUCUUUGCAUUUACCUUCCCCUCAGGGUAUUACAAUUCGAUUACCAGCCUUGCUUGAAGGCAAUAUCAUUGUGCAUCGCUUCAUCGUGAGUGUUCAAAUCAUAUUUGAAUCUUUGCUCUAUCAAGAGAUGGCCCACUCCGGUGCAUCUCGAU
rnacentral:lncRNA from 1 species